rnacentral:rRNA from 1 species
GAUGAACGCUGGCGGCGUGCCUAAUACAUGCAAGUCGAGCGAACAGACGAGGAGCUUGCUCCUCUGACGUUAGCGGCAGACGGGUGAGUAACACGUGGAUAACCUACCUAUAAGACUGGGAUAACUUCGGGAAACCGGAGCUAAUACCGGAUAAUAUAUUGAACCGCAUGGUUCAAUAGUGAAAGACGGUUUUGCUGUCACUUAUAGAUGGAUCCGCGCCGCAUUAGCUAGUUGGUAAGGUAACGGCUUACCAAGGCAACGAUGCGUAGCCGACCUGAGAGGGUGAUCGGCCACACUGGAACUGAGACACGGUCCAGACUCCUACGGGAGGCAGCAGUAGGGAAUCUUCCGCAAUGGGCGAAAGCUUGACGGAGCAACGCCGCGUGAGUGAUGAAGGUCUUCGGAUCGUAAAACUCUGUUAUUAGGGAAGAACAAAUGUGUAAGUAACUAUGCACGUCUUGACGGUACCUAAUCAGAAAGCCACGGCUAACUACGUG